rnacentral:sRNA from 1 species
CAAAGGCAAGUGAAGGUGGAAGCGGCCGCGGCGGCAGCAGGCCACCAUGGCGGAGCUGCAGGAGGUGCAGAUCACAGAGGAGAAGCCACUGUUGCCAGGACAGACGCCUGAGGCGGCCAAGGAGGCUGAGUUAGCUGCCCGAAUCCUCCUGGACCAGGGACAGACUCACUCUGUGGAGACACCAUAUGGCUCUGUCACUUUCACUGUCUAUGGCACCCCCAAACCCAAACGCCCAGCGAUCCUUACCUACCACGAUGUGGGACUCAACUAUAAAUCUUGCUUCCAGCCACUGUUUCAGUUUGAGGACAUGCAGGAAAUCAUUCAGAACUUCGUGCGGGUUCAUGUGGAUGCCCCUGGAAUGGAAGAGGGAGCCCCUGUGUUCCCUUUGGGAUAUCAGUACCCAUCUCUGGACCAGCUUGCAGACAUGAUCCCUUGCGUCCUGCAGUACCUAAAGUGAGAGGCCUGGGAACCCCUCCAAACCAGAGUUCUCUUUCCAGCACAAGGAGACCCUUAGA